rnacentral:lncRNA from 1 species
CACGAGGAAACUGAGGCAUAGAGAUGGGCAUCGUGGCCCACUCCUUGUGCUGACCAGACCAGACCAUGGCUGGGGAGGGACUCCCAUGUCUCCUCUCCUCUUUGUCUUCUUCACAUCAACUUCCCUAAUGAGUCCUGACAUAUUCUUUCUCUCUCUCCCUUGGUUCCUCUGCUCUCCCUCUGGCCCUGUGUCCCCCACCUCAGCCAUCCCUGCUGUCCUGCUGGGCAUGGUUCCUGAUGGCCCUACUGUAUCUCUGCCUGGGCCUUCCCUCCUGGCAUGGACAGACUUGCAUGGGAGCAUGAAUACUCCCCGUGGAGCCUACCCUGGUGUGGGGAAGCCUCUGUCUGUGCCCCUUCCCCUCUGGUAAGGCCCUGCAGACUCUGACAGCAGUGGUUCCCCACUCAUCUGGCCUCUGCCUCCUCCUUUUGUAGGAAGGUUCAUAUCACAAAGACGACCCUAGCGUGCUUGAAUGGGGACUACGAGGUAGAACCGGGUUACGGACAUGAGAGAAACAGUUUCUUGAAAACUCAUAACAUCGAAACCUUUUUUAUUGUGCCAUCCCAUCGCCGAAAGGUAGGCACCAGAGCCCCCCUCAUUUGGUUGAUCCUUAGCUUCUCGGCCUGUGCAGAGCUUUACAGAUGUGACUCCUCCUGCUUCCUCUCCAAGCACUGCUUCUCUGGGCUGUGAACUUGCUAAGAUGGGGAGAGUUGUCCCCACUAACGCUGUCCUGGGCCUUGUCUCUUACUGGUGUGGGGAGGGGUCUAGGUAAGGGAGCCAGAACCCCUAGUCAGAGAUCUGGGUUCACCUCGGGGCAGGCCAUUCUGUGUCCUCCUUCCCCUUCCUGGGCCUUCACUGCCUCCCCUGCAAAGUGGGCAUGAAACCCUGCAGGGGGGCCAGGGAUGGGGAGCUUUGUGAACUGGGGGGUGCUGGGCACAGAGGUGGGCUGUUACCAUCAUACAUGGGGCACUUGAGGUCACCCUGCCCAGAGAAAAGUGGUCCGGACAUGAUCAAGAGUGAUCAAGUCACUUUCGGGGUCCAUGUGAGGGGUCAGGCUCAGGUGAGGGUGCAGGACUCAGGUGAGGGGGUCAGGCUCAAGUGAGGUGUUCAGGGGACAGGUGAGGUGUUCAGGGCUCAGGUGAGGGGUUCAGGGCUCAGGUGAGGGUGCAGGGCUCAGGUGAGGGUACAGGGCUCAGGUGAGGGAUUCAGGGCUCAGGUGAGGGUGCAGGGCUCAGGUGAGGGUGCAGGGCUCAGGUGAGGGGUUCAGGGCUCAGGUGAGGUGUUCAGGGCUCAGGUGAGAGUGCAGGGCUCAAGUGAGGGUGUAGGGCUCAGGUCAGGGGUUCAUGGCUCAGGUGAGAUGUUCAGGGCUUAGGUGAGGGGUUCAUGGCUCAGGUGAGGGAUUCAGGGCUCAGGUGAGGGAUUCAGGGCUCAGGUGAGGGAUUCAGGGCUCAGGUGAGGGGUUCAGGCUCAGGGGAGGGUCGAUGGCUCAGGUGAGGGUGCAGAGCCAUUACUGUGUUGGCUCUUUUUAAAGAAACAAUUUGUGGGAGCUAGUCAUUGUGCACCCCAGUGGAUGCAGGCCCCUGGGCUCUGUCACAUUGACAUAGACAAUAGUAUCCAGUCCUGUAGUUUGAGGGUGAAAGGGGGUGACAAGGUAGGUACAGUAUACAGCCCCACUUUAGAGAAGUUUGAAUAGUGGGAGGGGAAGAGUGAGAAUGCUCAGAAGAAGGGGAUUUUGUUGUUUUGAAGAGUGGAGAUUUGUACCUACCUGUAGGGGCCAGAGAAAGUGAAGUUGAGAGGUAGGCAGCGAGGCCAAGGAAGGGGUACCGCAUUCCUGGAGAGGAGAUGGGGUCAGAGCUGCUGUGGGCGUGCAGGAACUUUGGACUCACUCAGAAGACAGGCCGGCCAGCAGGAACGAUGACAGUGGAGCAUUCAUGGGGUCCCACUUUCCUAUCACCUCAUUUGACCUUGAGAAGGCCCCAGCGGGUGAGUGGGUGAUGUUCAUCCGAUUUUACAGAUGGAAUUUCACCCAGAACAUGAGGACUGUGAGGGAACUGAGGUUCUGAGCCUCAGCUGGGUGCACUGCCCAGCCCUCCCCAUCCUCCCCAUGCGAUUUCUUUCCUUG